GCUGCGGAGGAUUUAGAUG
rnacentral:miRNA from 1 species